GUACUACUCCCUCCGUUCCAUAAUUCUUGUCGAAAUAUUACAUGUAUCUAGACAUAUUUUAGUAAUAGAUACAUCCAUUUUUAGGCAAAUUUGAGACAAGAAUUAUGGAAUGGAGGUAGUACUUG
rfam:Brachypodium distachyon strain Bd21 chromosome 1, whole genome shotgun sequence.